rnacentral:rRNA from 2 species
UGGGGAAUAUUGGGCAAUGGGCGCAAGCCUGACCCAGCAACGCCGCGUGAAGGAAGAAGGCUUUCGGGUUGUAAACUUCUUUUGGCAGGGACGAAGAAAGUGACGGUACCUGCAGAAUAAGCUCCGGCUAACUACGUGCCAGCAGCCGCGGUAAUACGUAGGGAGCAAGCGUUAUCCGGAUUUACUGGGUGUAAAGGGCGCGUAGGCGGGGAUGCAAGUCAGAUGUGAAAUCUGGGGGCUCAACCCCCAAACUGCAUUUGAAACUGUAUUUCUUGAGUGAUGGAGAGGCAAGCGGAAUUCCUAGUGUAGCGGUGAAAUGCGUAGAUAUUAGGAGGAACACCAGUGGCGAAGGCGGCUUGCUGGACAUUAACUGACGCUGAUGCGCGAAAGCGUGGGGAGCAAACAGG